UACGGAGGAUGCAAGCGUUAUCCGGAUUUAUUGGGUUUAAAGGGUGCGCAGGCGGAAAGAUAAGUCAGUGGUGAAAAACUGCCGCUUAACGGUAGUCUUGCCAUUGAUACUGUUUUUCUUGAGUAUGGAUGAGGUAGGCGGAAUGUGCAGUGUAGCGGUGAAAUGCAUAGAUAUUGCACGGAACUCCGAUUGCGAAGGCAGCUUACUGGACCAUUACUGACGCUCAGGCACGUAAGCGUGGGUAGCAAACAGGAUUA
rnacentral:rRNA from 1 species